rnacentral:rRNA from 1 species
GAUAAGCGCCGGUAAGGUGAUAUGAACCGUUAUAACCGGCGAUACCCGAAUGGGGAAACCCAGUGUGAUUCGUCACACUAUCAUUAACUGAAUCCAUAGGUUAAUGAGGCGAACCGGGGGAACUGAAACAUCUAAGUACCCCGAGGAAAAGAAAUCAACCGAGAUUCCCCCAGUAGCGGCGAGCGAACGGGGAGGAGCCCAGAGCCUGAAUCAGCAUGUGUGUUAGUGGAAGCGUCUGGAAAGGCGCGCGAUACAGGGUGACAGCCCCGUACACAAAAGCGCAUGUGCUGUGAGCUCGAUGAGUAGGGCGGGACACGUGGUAUCCUGUCUGAAUAUGGGGGGACCAUCCUCCAAGGCUAAAUACUCCUGACUGACCGAUAGUGAACCAGUACCGUGAGGGAAAGGCGAAAAGAACCCCGGCGAGG